rnacentral:rRNA from 1 species
UACGUAGGGUGCAAGCGUUGUCCGGAAUUAUUGGGCGUAAAGAGCUCGUAGGCGGUCUGUCGCGUCUGCUGUGAAAACUCAGGGCUUAACCCUGAGCUUGCAGUGGGUACGGGCAGACUAGAGUGCGGUAGGGGAGACUGGAAUUCCUGGUGUAGCGGUGAAAUGCGCAGAUAUCAGGAGGAACACCGGUGGCGAAGGCGGGUCUCUGGGCCGUAACUGAACGCU